rnacentral:rRNA from 1 species
UUCCCCUUCGGGGGGACAGGGUGACAGGUGGUGCAUGGUUGUCGUCAGCUCGUGUCGUGAGAUGUUGGGUUAAGUCCCGCAACGAGCGCAACCCUCGACCUUAGUUGCCAGCAUUCAGUUGGGCACUCUAAGGUGACUGCCGGCUAAAAAGUCGGAGGAAGGUGGGGAUGACGUCAAAUCAUCAUGCCCCUUAUGACCUGGGCUACACACGUGCUACAAUGGGCGGUACAAAGGGUCGCGAACCCGCGAGGGGGAGCCAAUCCCAAAAAGCCGCUCUCAGUUCGGAUUGCAGGCUGCAACUCGCCUGCAUGAAGCCGGAAUCGCUAGUAAUCGCGGAUCAGCAUGCCGCGGUGAAUACGUUCCCGGGCCUU